GGGGAGGAGGGUAUGGCGGCUCCUGCAGACACUCGUGCCCACAGGUUUCUGGGCGUGAGUCCUCUUGGGGAAAGGAUUGGCCCAGACGUGGAGUGAAGUCAGAUCUGGGCUGAAAGGAAGAACAGGAACAUUAGAAGGAUUUGACUUCCUGGGAUGAGCUGUGCUUCCAGACUGGCCAGUGAUGCCACCUGGUGGCCAAGGCCAUUUGUUGUCCUGCCACAGACUCCUCUCUCCCAAAUGGACCUGACUCUUCUGGGCUGCCUCUUUUCUCUUAGAAGCCAUAGAACCAUCCACUGCCCAAGCAGUCCGUGACUUUUAGAGUAAAAUAUAGAUACAGAAAAUUGCUCAGAUCGUGAGUAUACAGGCCGAUAAACUUUCACAAAUGACCACGUCUGUGGAACCAGCACCCAGGGCAAGAAACAUAACAUCGUUGGAUCCAGCCUGCCUUCCCAACCUCCCUCCCAUCCUACUUUGUGGAUGUUUUCGCUAAAUGAACUAACAAAUUGUCUACAGCUUGCCUAGUGGGCUGGUCCGGGAAAUUGUGAAGGAAUUCUUUGAUGCCUUCCUCCAAGGUUUAGGAAUGACAAAUGGAGCCUUAGGACAACGCUGGCCCGAC
rnacentral:lncRNA from 1 species